rfam:Triticum aestivum genome assembly, contig: Triticum_aestivum_CS42_TGACv1_scaffold_030886_1BL
CAACUACUCCCUCCAUCCGAAAAAGCUUGUCCCAAGCUUGUCCCUCGAAUGGAUGCAUCUAGCACUAACUUGUUGCUAGAUACAUCCAUUUGAGGGACAAGCUUUUUCAGACGGAGGGAGUAUAAG